ensembl:lncRNA PCAT7 prostate cancer associated transcript 7
AGUCUAGGAACCGGCAUGCGCAUAACCUCAGGAUAUAAAUAAUGCUGAAGCAGAGUUACGUUUUUUUUGUUGUUGUUUUUUUUGUUUUUGUUUUUUUAGGUUUCCGUGUGUUUCUAUUGAGCUGCUCAGUGCCCGGCUUAGAAGACCAGGAAAAGGAGUCACAGGUCGUAUGCUGGAGGCUUGAGCCGCGGCACCGUGGCGCGGCUCGCCUCGCUGCGGUUGGUGGUGGCGGUGGACAUUGCAGCGCGGCUGGAGGGGUGAGAUAUUCCUGCACAUCCUCUGGUGACCCCAGAAUGAGGGGGACUCGCUGGUGAAUUGCCUCGGGCUUCACGUCCAGUACAGGCUGGGUCCCCGUGGUCGCCAAGCCUCCUGCCUGCUCAAUGAUGUAGGCCACGGGAUUGCAUUCAUACAGGAGCCGGAGCUGUGGAGGAACAGAGGCAGGUUCCUUGGGAUUUUCUACAUAGACCAUCAUGUCGUCUGCAAGAACAGUGUUAUUACCUGCUUUCCAAUCUUGCCUGCUACCUCCAAUAUUUCACUGGUGCACUGAAAGUGACUUUUAGAGAAGUGACAAACUUUGGAAUUUUGGAACUUUGAAACUUCGGAACUUGGGGUUCAGCCUUGAAGGAGAAAAACAGUUUCCAACAUCAUGGCCUCUGAUUUUGUCAUCUUCUCUGGGACUGGUUACAUAUUCUGGCCCAUUUUUGUGCACAUUUUAAACUGAUGGGCAAAUUACAACAAGAAAAAUUCAGAGUUCAAAUGGUUAACCUACACUGUGGAGUUAAGUAGAAUCUUCUUUAGCUCUCUACCUUCCUCUCUUUUCUGCCUGCUUUAAAUCUGCUGUUAUUAAACUGCUGGCGCGAGACAAGACUCAUUAUUUAUGGUCUAAAUUGAAUAUAAACAUUGAAAACUCAUUUGAAACUGAACAGCAAAAAGGGGAAAAGAUUUAAAAAGAAAAAAACCCAAACUGCCAUAGAGACUGCUUUACCCCAAAUUUUGGCUGCCAGCUUUCCUUGGAUUACCUAUCAGGGCAAACAAAGUUAGCCACGUGGACAGCUUCCAGUUUUGUCAGAAAAACAACUUGAAGCCAGCUUUUAUAGCUAAUCACAAAGAAAUGGCCUCUUGUCUAUUGACUAUAUUGCAGCUGAACAUUGAUUGAAACUUUUGGCCAUUGGCAAACCUCUCUGUAUAAUAAGCUGUGUGUGAACCCAUAGUGAAUGCAGACCCUCCCCAGCCGUGCCUUCCUUCACCGACUUCACCAUCCUACGAGGAAACCUUGCUUACUUCUGAGGGCUGCAGCUCCGCAGUGUGGAAGCCGAUAAGAAAUCUGUGCUGGCCCUGCCAGGAUCUCUAAGGAAAAGGGCCCAAAACACAUGACUCAAACAACUGCUGGGGCCCUCAAGGAACUCCCUCUGGCCUCGGGGACUGUGGCAGCUGCCAGGGAGCCGCAGCAGUCUGUAAAUAGGACGGGCUGCCCAGAAACAUGGAGCUGCUUUCUCCUGCUGAGCACCCCCUUUCAAGAUACCAAGAAGCCACCAUUUAGGCACAGGUGGGAGUUCCAGAAAGCAAAUAUUAUGGGAAGAUGUCCAAGUCAGCACACAGAGGCUUGGAUCAUUCCAGCUUGCGGACAUUCAGAUAAUUUAGGAAUGUAAGGUGCACAGCAGGUCAGGGUACUGCUGUGUGAGACAAAAGGUCCAGGUAGAGGCAAUUCUCCGGAUGCAGGCAGGGCAGGUGCUCACUGGGCAGAGUGCUUCUCAUACACCUUCAGGAACUCGAGCACGUCGUCGGGGGAUCCCAAGAUCACCGGCGCCCUCUGGUGAAUGUCUGUGGGAAUGACGUCUAACACGGCCUCCUUCCCAGUGGUGGCCAUUCCCCCAGCCUUCUCCAUGACGUAGGCCAUGGGGUUGCAUUCGUACAGCAGUCUCAGCUGGAAAACAAGACCGGGUAGCGGCCUCCUUGUAUCAGAAGGUAUUGCGUAAAAAAGAGACUUUUCUGCAGCAAAACAUGCAGAGCUGGUGGGAGUUUCCAAGGGAACGAAUACUGUAUUUUUCCUUCCUGUGAGGCUGUAAAAGUUUCCUCCCACCCCAGGUUGCAUCUGAGACAAAACAGUUAACCAUUUGGUUAAAUUCAACCAUUCAUCAAGCCAGUGCCAGCAAUAGAUUACCUGAUGCAAAUGUGAGACAGACCACCUGCAUACUGGACAGAAUGACAUUUUGGCAGAAGCGAUCAUUGCCUUCUCUUUAUACCAUGGAAACUGGACUUAAUGAGUGAUUCUGUGUGUGUUGGAUGGAGCUUCGCCUAUUCUAAAAGCAAUAAAAAAAAUCCAUGGUGGUGUCUGGCUACAG